rnacentral:rRNA from 1 species
AUGAUGUCCCUUUCUCCUCUACCAAUCUUGAAGCUGGUAUGUCGUCUUCUGAUUUGCAAGACCAAGGGGCGUCAAGAAGAGACUGAGCGUGCGACAUCAGCUAACUCUGAACAAAAGGGAGUGGAGCCGAUGAAAAAUAGGAAGCACAACCAUGUCGCUUUGGCUCUCGAGGACUACAUAGAUUUUUGGAAGAAGCAAGCUGCAAAAUUGGAUGAAGAGUUAAAGGAAUCAAAGCAAUAUAACUUUCUUCUUGAUAUUUGUAGCGAUGGGCUGUAG